rnacentral:rRNA from 1 species
CCUGGUAGUCCACGCCGUAAACGGUGGGUACUAGGUGUGGGUUUCCUUCCUUGGGAUCCGUGCCGUAGCUAACGCAUUAAGUACCCCGCCUGGGGAGUACGGCCGCAAGGCUAAAACUCAAAGAAAUUGACGGGGGCCCGCACAAGCGGCGGAGCAUGUGGAUUAAUUCGAUGCAACGCGAAGAACCUUACCUGGGUUUGACAUGCACAGGACGCCGGCAGAGAUGUCGGUUCCCUUGUGGCCUGUGUGCAGGUGGUGCAUGGCUGUCGUCAGCUCGUGUCGUGAGAUGUUGGGUUAAGUCCCGCAACGAGCGCAACCCUUGUCUCAUGUUGCCAGCACGUUAUGGUGGGGACUCGUGAGAGACUGCCGGGGUCAACUCGGAGGAAGGUGGGGAUGACGUCAAGUCAUCAUGCCCCUUAUGUCCAGGGCUUCACACAUGCUACAAUGGCCGGUACAAAGGGCUGCGAUGCCGUGAGGUGGAGCGAAUCCUUCUAAAGCCGGUCUCAGUUCGGAUCGGGGUCUGCAACUCGACCCCGUGAAGUCGGAGUCGCUAGUAAUCGCAGAUCAGCACGCUGCGGUGAUACGUUCCCGGGCUUGUACUCACCGCC